rnacentral:rRNA from 1 species
UACACUCCUGCGGGAGGCAGCAGUGGGGAAUAUUGCACAAUGGGCGCAAGCCUGAUGCAGCCAUGCCGCGUGUAUGAAGAAGGCCUUCGGGUUGUAAAGUACUUUCAGCGGGGAGGAAGGCGAUAAGGUUAAUAACCUUGUCGAUUGACGUUACCCGCAGAAGAAGCACCGGCUAACUCCGUGCCAGCAGCCGCGGUAAUACGGAGGGUGCAAGCGUUAAUCGGAAUUACUGGGCGUAAAGCGCACGCAGGCGGUCUGUCAAGUCGGAUGUGAAAUCCCCGGGCUCAACCUGGGAACUGCAUUCGAAACUGGCAGGCUAGAGUCUUGUAGAGGGGGGUAGAAUUCCAGGUGUAGCGGUGAAAUGCGUAGAGAUCUGGAGGAAUACCGGUGGCGAAGGCGGCCCCCUGGACAAAGACUGACGCUCAGGUGCGAAAGCGUGGGGAGCAAACAGGAUUAGAUACCCGAGUAGUCC